GCGUGCCUAGCUCAACUGGAUAGAGCAUCGGAAUUCGAGUCCGAGGGUUGGGGGUUCGAGUCCCUCGGCGCGCGCCA
rnacentral:tRNA from 2 species